rnacentral:rRNA from 1 species
AUUGAACGCUGGCGGCAUGCCUUACACAUGCAAGUCGAACGGUAACAGGUCUUCGGAUGCUGACGAGUGGCGAACGGGUGCGUAAUACAUCGGAACGUGCCCGAUCGUGGGGGAUAACGAGGCGAAAGCUUUGCUAAUACCUCAUACGAUCUACGGAUGAAAGCGGGGGUUUUUCGAACUUCGCGGGGACGGAGCGGCCGAUGGUAGAUUAGGUAGUUGGUGGGUUAAAAGCUUACCAAGCCGACGAUCUGUAGCUGGUCUGAGAGGAUGAUCAGCCACACUGGGACUGAGACACGGCCCAGACUCCUACGGGAGGCAGCAGUGGGGAAUUUUGGACAAUGGGCGAAAGCCUGAUCCAGCCAUGCCGCGUGCAGGAUGAAGGCCUUCGGGUUGUAAACUGCUUUUGUACGGAACGAAAAGCCUCUUUCUAAUAAAGAGGGGUCAUGACGGUACCGUAAGAAUAAGCACCGGCUAACUACGUG